UGGGGAAUUUUGGACAAUGGGGGCAACCCUGAUCCAGCAAUGCCGCGUGUGUGAAGAAGGCCUUCGGGUUGUAAAGCACUUUUGUCCGGAAAGAAAACUUCGGGGCUAAUACCCCUGGAGGAUGACGGUACCGGAAGAAUAAGCACCGGCUAACUACGUGCCAGCAGCCGCGGUAAUACGUAGGGUGCGAGCGUUAAUCGGAAUUACUGGGCGUAAAGCGUGCGCAGGCGGUGCUGUAAGACCGAUGUGAAAUCCCCGGGCUUAACCUGGGAACUGCAUUGGUGACUGCAGCGCUGGAGUAUGGCAGAGGGGGGUGGAAUUCCACGUGUAGCAGUGAAAUGCGUAGAGAUGUGGAGGAACCCCGAUGGCGAAGGCAGCCCCCUGGGCCAAUACUGACGCUCAUGCACGAAAGCGUGGGGAGCAAACAGG
rnacentral:rRNA from 1 species